CCUACGGGAGGCUGCAGUGAGGAAUAUUGGUCAAUGGGCGGGAGCCUGAACCAGCCAAGCCGCGUGAGGGAAGAAGGUACAGCGUAUCGUAAACCUCUUUUGUCAGGGAACAAAGGCGGGGACUAGUCCCCGGAUGAGGGUACCCGAAGAAAAAGCAUCGGCUAACUCCGUGCCAGCAGCCGCGGUAAUACGGGGGAUGCGAGCGUUAUCCGGAUUUAUUGGGUUUAAAGGGUGCGCAGGCGGCCUGUUAAGUCAGCGGUAAAAGUUCAGGGCUCAACCCUGUCGAGCCGUCGGAACUGGCAGCCUUGAGUGGGCGAGAGGUAUGCGGAAUGCGUGGUGUAGCGGUGAAAUGCAUAGAUAUCGCGCAGAACGCCGAUUGCGAAGGCAGCAUGCCGGCGCCCGACUGACGCUGAGGCACGAAAGCGUGGGGAUCGAACAGGAUUAGAUACCCCUGUAGUC
rnacentral:rRNA from 1 species